CUUGAUUUCUUAUGUGUGAUAGAUUCAUUGUUGAUUGUAUUGUUGAUAGAAGACUAACCAAAAAGACAUCAGGAUCUUGGCCGUUUGAUGACAACAUGAUUCAAGUUUCCAUGAUAACAUAUACUUUUAAAAGACUUUUGCAAAACCAUCAAAGCUUCCAGGACCAAUUUUUCACUAGCAAAUCAUUGCAUGAACGGUUCACACACAGUAUCAGGCUUUGGGAACCCGGAACAUUUGGUAUUAAUCCCGGAUUGGAUUGUCGGUAUUUGCUGUGUAAUUUUGACCAAAAUAAUGAUGAUUUCAUGGACAUCUUACAUUCGGUAUUAACAUCAGCAAUUGCGGCACAAAGUUAUAACUGAGCAAAAGCAUUGGCAUGGUUCUUGAACGGGACCUCCUUGGUUGAAAUGCAAAGAGAUCGGAAAUGCACGAGAAUCCCAUUGUUGUUUAUUGCAAAAAUUCCGACGAAAUAGAAUUUAAAUGUGGGAAACUGGUCAGCUAUGUAUUUCCACCGGAAUCAAGUGAAGGCACCAGCGUCGAUGCAGCGAUUAUCAGAAGGAUCCGUUUAGCCGAAUAAGUCAAAACGUUGUUGCCAUUAAUAGUGAAGGCCAUUGUUUAAAAUAAAUGUACUUACAUCGCAACUAUAUUGACUACCAAGAAAUUGAAACAAUUCAUGAGGUGCAGGUGGCUGCUGUUGGGGCGAUUUCAUCAGUUCAACAUGGAAGCGAUAGGAUAUGUUUGGAAGAUAAAAAACCAAGUUGAAUUUAAAACCCUUGCCCACGCUGUUAGAAAUAAAGCGAAUCAUUAUCCAAAGCCUCAGGAAAUAAAUGACUGCAUUCAUCUUGUGGAUAGCGUAUUAAAACAAGUAGGAGACCAAGAACUUAAAACUCCAAGAACGAUAACGUUACAUCAACAGAUUUCAAUGCGCAAUGUGUCUUUCACACAAGGUGACUCCGGUAUGUGUAUCUAUGUCAAAUGUCCGGACAAUGAAUUUCGUUGUUUAGGAAUGGCUAUUGCAUCACACCCAGAUGGUGGGUGUAUCAUUACUCCAAUAAAGGCCAUUUUAUCGGCAUUUAAGUUAAUAUGAAAUAUUCAAUAGAUGCAUAAUAAUAAUUCAUACUAGUAUUCAU